rnacentral:tRNA from 1 species
GGGCCCUUAGCUCAACGGAUAGAGCACUUGGCUUCGGACCAAGGGGUUGCGUGUUCGAAUCGCGCAGGGCUCA